UUCCCCUUAGAGUUUGAUCCUGGCUCAGAUUGAACGCUGGCGGCAUGCCUAACACAUGCAAGUCGUGCGGUAACAGGCCCUUCGGGGUGCUGACGAGCGGCGGACGGGUGAGUAACGCGUAGGGAUCUGCCCCACGGUGGGGGAUAGCCCGGGGAAACCCGGAUUAAUACCGCAUACGACCUACGGGGGAAAGCGGGGGACCGCAAGGCCUCGCGCCGAGGGAUGAACCUACGUCCGAUUAGCUAGUUGGUGGGGUAAGGGCCCACCAAGGCGACGAUCGGUAGCUGGUCUGAGAGGAUGAUCAGCCACACUGGGACUGAGACACGGCCCAGACUCCUACGGGAGGCAGCAGUGGGGAAUAUUGGACAAUGGGCGCAAGCCUGAUCCAGCAAUGCCGCGUGGGUGAAGACGGCCUGCGGGUUGUAAAGCCCUUUCAGCGGGGAGGAAAAGCAGUCGGCUAAUAUCCGGGUGUCUUGACGUUACCUGCAGAAGAAGCACCGGCUAACUCCGUGCCAGCAGCCGCGGUAAUACGGAGGGUGCCGAGCCGUUAAUCGGAAUUACUGGGCGUAAAGCGCGCGUAGGCGGCCUUGUUAAAGUCG
rnacentral:rRNA from 1 species